rnacentral:rRNA from 1 species
UAGAGUUUGAUCCUGGCUCAGCCUUGACUUAAAUGGAGAAGUCGUAACAAGGUAGCCGUAAGUCGUAACAAGGUAACCGUAAGUCGUAACAAGGUAGCCGUGGAGUUUGAUAAUGGCUCAGCCUUUGACUUAAAAAAAUGGAGAAGUCGUAACAAGAUAACCGUAGAGUUUGAUCAUGGCUCAGCAAAGUCGUAACAAGGUAGCCGUAGAGUUUGAUCCUGGCUCAGGAAAGUCGUAACAAGGAAGUCGUAACAAGGUAGCCGUAAGUCGUAACAAGGUAGA